AACGAACGCUGGCGGCAGGCUUAACACAUGCAAGUCGAGCGCUCCGCAAGGGGAGUGGCAGACGGGUGAGUAACGCGUGGGAACGUGCCCUUCGCUUCGGAAUAGCCCCGGGAAACUGGGAGUAAUACCGAAUACGCCGUAUUGGGAAAGAUUUAUCGGCGAAGGAUCGGCCCGCGUUAGAUUAGCUAGUUGGCGGUGUAAUGGACCACCAAGGCUACGAUCUAUAGCUGGUCUGAGAGGAUGAUCAGCCACACUGGGACUGAGACACGGCCCAGACUCCUACGGGAGGCAGCAGUGGGGAAUCUUGGACAAUGGGCGCAAGCCUGAUCCAGCCAUGCCGCGUGAGUGAAGAAGGCCUUAGGGUUGUAAAACUCUUUCGCCGGAGAAGAUAAUGACGGUAUCCGGAGAAGAAGCCCCGGCUAACUUCGUGCCAGCCGCCGCGGUAAGAC
rnacentral:rRNA from 1 species